CGGGGUGUAGCUCAGCCUGGUAGAGCACUACCUUCGGGAGGUAGGGGUCGCAAGUUCAAAUCCUGUCACCCCGA
rnacentral:tRNA from 1 species